UACGGGGGGGGGCAAGCGUUGUUCGGAAUUACUGGGCGUAAAGGGCUCGUAGGCGGCCAACUAAGUCAGACGUGAAAUCCCCAGGCUCAACCUGGGAACUGCGUCCGAUACUGGCAGGCUUGAAUUCGGGAGAGGGAUGCGGAAUUCCAGGUGUAGCGGUGAAAUGCGUAGAUAUCUGGAGGAACACCGAUGGCGAAGGCAGGUCUCUGGGCCACUACUGACGCUGAGAAGCGAAAGCAUGGGGAGCGAACAGG
rnacentral:rRNA from 1 species